ensembl:lncRNA
CUUUCUGUGGAAGGCGGGUCUUAGGAGUUUGGAGUUUCGCUGAGACGCGCCUGUUCCCACCAGAUAAGAGCUGUGCCCUCAGGGCACGUCAGCUGCUUAGAGUUUGAGUUUGAGGUGAUUGUAGGGGUUGUGAGGAUUAAAUGUGAGGAGAUCAAUUGUAUUGAGCAUUAGCAUAAAAGGCGCUUUUGCUAAUUUUGUUUCCAUUGUAAUUCGUAUGCAUACGUGUUAGAACAUGAUCAUUUUUACGUGGUGGCGCGCGCCAGUAGUCCAGGGAGGCUGAGGCAGGAGAAUCGCUUAAGCCCGGGAGGCGGAGGUUGCGGUGAGCCAAAAUCGCGUCACUGCACUGCAGCCUGGGUGACAGCGAGAGCCUGUCUCAAAACAAAACAAAAGGAAACAAACAAAAAAUUUAGUGUUUUCUGGAAAGAAAAGCAAGAGUAGAGGACAAGCUCUAAAGCAAGAGAGUCUUGGCUCAUUCGUUAGCUGCGUGAUCUUGACCUCUCAGAGCCUCAGCUUUCUUAUCUCUAAAACGGACACCAGUGAGCUUGGAUUAGGAUCUACCCUAACAGCCUCGUUUAAUUAAUCACCUCCUUAAAGGCUCUAUCUCCAAAUGUCGCAUCGUGAGGCACUGGGGGUUACAGCUUCAACAGGUUGUAGUUUCCAAGAACCUGUCAACAACAUCAAGUGAGGAUUUACAGUACUGCUUCUGCCAUCUUUCUCAUGAUUCCCUAAGGAGUGAUGUAUGCACUGAAAUUGUUAGAGGAUAGAAGAGGUGAAGUCGUUAAACAGCAAUCGCCAUAUCUCCUGCUGCCCCAAUCUAUAGAAUCCCCAUCUUGCUUCCCCCUGUGUAAGAACACCUGUGACUGCAUCCAGAUAAUCCAGGAUAAUUUUGGAAUCUCAAGAUUCUCAACAUAAUCACAUCUGCAAAGACCCUUUUUCCAUAGAAGGUGCAGCAGGAAACGCCUGACCUCUCACCCUGCCCCUGCAAUGACCCCAACCUCACUUAUGGGGACCACCCUCUGGGCUGCCCUAAUGCAGACCCAUGAUCACCUCUCCAGGUUGACUGCUGAAUAGCAGGAGAAGAUGAACCUGAAAUUGAAUGGUUAUUGCAACCCAGUUUUUUCGGUCGAAAGGUGAAGGUUACUUAGCUUUUGUUGCUGCCUUCAAGCUUGUUAAUGAAAAGAUGGAAAAACAAUAUUGACAACGGUGAAGUCCAAUUUGUUCAGAAAUGGAACCUGAUUUAUUAUAGAAAUGAGACAGAAGACAAAUGAAAAAGUAAGAUAUGAAAUAAGACCAAUAAUAGGAAGAAAAUUGCUAAAGUCUUAAAGAAAUAUUAUUUCUUUUUCUACUGGGUCCAUCCAUCUGGGUUUUCAAAUUUCUGCAAUUCCCAAGAGGAUCAUGACUUGAAUGUUAAUCCAAAAUAAGAGUUCGUAUUGUAGCUGCUGAGUGUGUUUGCCUAACUACCUCUCACUGCUAACUCAACUUACAGCUAAGGAAAUUUUGUUUGUUCAUUUAAUAAACAUUUAUUGAACUACCUAACAGUCCCUGUAUUUGGUUUAUGAAUUUAAUUUUUAAACUUUCAAUUUUUCACCUCUAGAAAUUUACUUCCUUUUACAUUUUCCCAAGUUUUUAUCUUACUAAUUCAUGUCAAAGCUGUGAUGCUCAAUGUAUUUCUAAGUUACCACUUAUGUAAAUUGCCCUAUCUAGCUUAUAAGACCAUGAUGAGGAACACAUGAAGUAAUCUUGAUAAAAAUAUAUGAGAAUAUUUUUUCAUUUUGAAUACAUUCUUUGACUUUUGAUGGAAAAGAAAAACACCAAAGACAUUAAUUUAUCUUUAUAACUCUAAUAAGCUUAUACAAAUUAAAACAAAAAUACAAAAAUAGAACAAAAUAGGGAAAGUGAAUUAAUAUGAAAUCAAAACUUUUUUUACUAAAAAAUGUGAUUGUGAAUUUAAAAAUGCAAUAAAGUGUAUAAACAUUGGAUGAAGGUCAUAAACAGCAAAUAGCACUUUGAAAUAUCUUGUCAUAUUCUAAACGUCAAAGGAAUUCUCAAAAAAGUCCAAAGACAAAUAGUAUAAGCCAUAAUUUCUUAUCACUUUGCAAUAAAAUUAGAAAUUAAAUAAAAAGGGAUAAGAUGGGGGAAAAAAAACCCAAAUCAAAUACAAAGAGAUUUUAAAAUACUUUCUGAAGUAACUUGUAGAAUGAGAACUUCAAUGAUAGCCUAUUUAUAAAAUAAUGAUUUAUCUACCCAUCUCCCUUUGUCUGGGUGAGAGCUUGGGGAAGGGUAGUGAGUGGCAUAUUCACCUGCCUUCUUGUUUCUAUAGCUCUUCCAGUAGCUGGAAAGGUAUAAUCUGCAGUUGGCUCUUGAACAGCAUGGGGACAUGGGGCAUCAAUCCACUGUACAGUCAAAAAUCCAGGCAUAAUUUUGGACUCUUCAAACUACUAAUAGCUUCCUGUUGACAAAAAGCCUUACUGAUUUAAUAUAAACAGUCUAUUAAUACAUAUUUUGUAUGUUAUCUGUAUUAUAUACUGUAUCCCUACAAUAAAGUAAGCUAGAGAAAGGAAAAUUUUCUUAAGAAAACCUUAAGGAAGAGGAUACGUAUUUACUAUUCAUUAAAUGGAAGUAGAUCAUCACAAAGGUCUUUGUCUUCAUCGUCUUCAUGUUGAGUAGGCUGAGGAGGAGGAGAAAGAGGAGGGGUUGGUUUUGCUGUCUCUGGGGUGGCAGAGGAGAAAGAAAAUUCCCAUAUAAGUGGACUUAUGCAGUGCUAACCUGUAUUGUUCAAGGUUCGGCUGUAUUUCAUUUUCUUCGGCAAGAUAGGAACACUUGUACUAAAUACUCAAAGUUUAGCCCCCGAAACCUAUAUCAUUCAAUAUAAUUAUAUAGGAGAAGGAGGAAUUAGAGACUCUUUUUUUCAAGACAAAGGUAUGUCUUGCUGCAAAAUCCUACUCUUAAACACCAGAAGCUGGACAUUCAUUGUUUCAGUCCUCUUAUCUGAAGUCCUUUUGCAACAAUUCCUAAUUACUUCCAGGGCAAGUGAGAUGCCUGAAGAGAACAGGGGUGAAUAUUAUUUUUUAGGCAAAAUAGUAAAUCCCAUUAAGAAAUUUACAAAUAUUACUACUAUUGUACUUUUUUACUAGAAAAAAUGGUAACAUAAGAACUGAAUUAAAUGAGGAAGCAAAAGCCAGGGAAUAAUAAAAUAAAAGUAGAAAUUAAUAAAACAGAAAAUAAAAAAGUAAAAUUGAUAAAUUAGUCAAAUGCUAGUUCUUUGAAAGGGAUAAUAAAAUAUAUAAUGUUAAGGUGGAAUAGUCUUAAUAAAAAAAUUAGAAAAAAUAGGCAAUCUGGGAAGCAGAAGGGAUAUAAAAUCAGAUAUCAAGAAGUAUUAAAACCACAAAUAAUACAAUAUAACACUUCAUGAUAAUAAAUGUUAAUGUUGAUGAAAUGUUCACAUUUCUAGGAAGUAUAAAUUGCCCAAUUAAAAAAUCAAAUUAAUAAUAAUAAAACCUAGCUAUCUAUGGAAAAAAAUUAUGAAAAAAAGAGGCUAAACACAGUCUUAUGGUCAGUUUUUCUUGAUUUUUAUGAAACAGUUACUUAUGUCCUGAAAUAGGCUAAAUCUUAUAAAAAAAAGUAAAAAUCUUUGAUAUCUCUUAUGCUAGAGUCUAAUAAAUGUAUAGUAAAAAAUGCAACAUAGGGAAUGAUCUGUUUGAAAGAGCAAAAAUCUUGUAGAAAAAUAACAAUCUAGGCUGGGUUCAGUGGCUCUUGCCUGUAAUCCCAGCACUUUGGGAGGCCAAGGCAGGUGGAUUACAAGGUCAGGAGUUCGAGACCAGCCUGACCAGCAUGGUGAAAACCUGUCUCUACUAAAAAUACAAAAAUUAGCUGGGCGUGUUGGCGUGCGUCUGUAAUCCCAGCUACUCAGCAGGCUGAGGCAGGGGAAUUGCUUGAAUCCAGGAGGCGGAGGUUGCAGUGAGCUGAGAUCGUGCCACUGCACUCCAUCCUGGGUGAUGGAGCGAGACUCUGUCUCAAAAAAAUAAAAAAGAAAAAAAAAGAAAAA